rnacentral:lncRNA from 1 species
UGUUUACACCUGGCGGCCAUCCUUUAAUUUAAAAGGCAGCGCGCAGUUAUAAAGAAGACUUGGGACGUAACCUGGCCUGAGAAGCAGGCGUGCUGCCCCUUUGGGUCUCCUGCAAGCUGAUCCAGAUGGGAUGAUAAAACGUCAAAAAUAACUGCAAUUAAACAGUAUGAAGAUAAACAAAGUCAAGAAGGUACCGCAUACUGCAUAAGCAAGACUUUCGUCACUGCCUGCUCUGGGUUCAGUCACUCAACUUAGGAGGCUCAGUUUCUCCCCGGGAUUGUUACGAUGGUCGUCUGUGCUGCCGUGAAUGCUGAGGAUGGCGUGUGGUGUGUGCAGGCAACACUGGGGCACCCCCUUCAGACAUGGGGAAAGAAGACUGCCAAGCAUUCGAAGGCCACGCAGCUGAGACGUGGCAGAGCUUGGGUUAAAAUCUUGUAAUGCUGACCUGCAAGGCCGGCACUGCCUCCGCCACACGCACUUCCGCCCACCGUGACGCGCUGCUUCCACCAUCAUGCACUUCUGCCAGGACGUGUGGCCUCGCAUCCGUGCUCCUUUGUGGGCAGCCUUCAUCCUUUGUAACGUAGAAUGGUUAUGAGUGGCUGGUCAGGUGGAUGGAAAUUUUCUAAAAUACAUCAGACCAUUUCUUUUGUUGCUUUCUGAGACGGAAUACAUGGAAAUUAACAAAACAUCUUAAGAACAAUUUUACUUUUUUCAAAUAUUCAAAUAGAUUUUUCUGAAUUGAACAUUGAUUUUGGCCCUGCGCUAUAAUUUAAUGAAAUCCUUAGUCAUUAACUCUGCCCCAUAAGCUAUGUAACCCCAGAAGUUUCCAUGAUUAAAAACAUUUCUGACAUCA